AUUGAACGCUGGCGGCAUGCCUUACACAUGCAAGUCGAACGGCAGCACGGGAGCAAUCCUGGUGGCGAGUGGCGAACGGGUGAGUAAUAUAUCGGAACGUGCCCAGUCGUGGGGAUAACGUAGCGAAAGCUACGCUAAUACCGCAUACUAUCUAUGGAUGAAAGCGGGGGAUCGCAAGACCUCGCGCGAUUGGAGCGGCCGAUAUCAGAUUAGGUAGUUGGUGAGGUAAAGGCUCACCAAGCCGACGAUCUGUAGCUGGUCUGAGAGGACGACCAGCCACACUGGGACUGAGACACGGCCCAGACUCCUACGGGAGGCAGCAGUGGGGAAUUUUUGGACAAUGGGCGGCAAGCCUGAUCCAGCAAUGCCGCGUGCAGGA
rnacentral:rRNA from 1 species